rnacentral:rRNA from 1 species
GGCCCAGAUCGUUUACCGUGAAGAAAUUAGAGUGUUCAAAGCGGGCGCGAAAGCAAUUUCUCGCCGUUGAAUACGUCAGCAUGGGAUAAUGGAAUAGGACCCCGCUCUCCUAUUUUCCGUUGGUUUCCGGGAGCGGGGUAAUGAUUGAUAGGGAUAGUUUGGGGGCAUCGAUAUUUAAUUGUCAGAGGUGAAAUUCUUGGAUUUAUGAAAGAUCGACUUCCGCGAAAGCAUUUGCCAAGGAUGUUUUCAUUAAUCAAGAACGAAAGUUAGGGGAUCGAAGACGAUCAGAUACCGUCGUAGUCUUAACCAUAAACCGUGCCGACCAGCGAUCGGGAGACGUCGCAUGGAUGACUCCCCUAGCAGCUUGUGAGA